AGAGUUUGAUCCUGGCUCAGGACGAACGCUGGCGGCGUGCCUAACACAUGCAAGUCGAACGGAGUUGAAAGGAGCUUGCUUUUUUCAACUCAGUGGCGGACGGGUGAGUAACGCGUGAGUAACCUGCCUUUCAGAGGGGGAUAACGUUCUGAAAAGAACGCUAAUACCGCAUAAGAUUGUAGUUUCGCAUGGAGCAGCAAUCAAAGGAGCAAUCCGCUGAAAGAUGGACUCGCGUCCGAUUAGAUAGUUGGCGGGGUAACGGCCCACCAAGUCGACGAUCGGUAGCCGGACUGAGAGGUUGAUCGGCCACAUUGGGACUGAGACACGGCCCAGACUCCUACGGGAGGCAGCAGUGAGGGAUAUUGGGCAAUGGGGGAAACCCUGACCCAGCAACGCCGCGUGAGGGAUGACGGUUUUCGGAUUGUAAACCUCUGUCCUCUGUGAAGAUAGUGACGGUAGCAGAGGAGGAAGCUCCGGCUAACUACGUGCCAGCAGCCGCGGUAAUACGUAGGGAGCAAGCGUUGUCCGGAUUUACUGGGUGUAAAGGGUGCGUAGGCGGAUUGGCAAGUCAGAAGUGAAAUCCAUGGGCUUAACCCAUGAACUGCUUUUGAAACUGUUAGUCUUGAGUGAAGUAGAGGUAGGCGGAAUUCCCGGUGUAGCGGUGAAAUGCGUAGAGAUCGGGAGGAACACCAGUGGCGAAGGCGGCCUACUGGGCUUUAACUGACGCUGAGGCACGAAAGUGUGGGUAGCAAACAGGAUUAGAUACCCUGGUAGUCCACACUGUAAACGAUGAUUACUAGGUGUGGGGGGUCUAACCCCCUCCGUGCCGGAGUUAACACAAUAAGUAAUCCACCUGGGGAGUACGACCGCAAGGUUGAAACUCAA
rnacentral:rRNA from 1 species